GUGCCUUCAUGCAACAAAUGCCUGAUGUGUGCCAGGCAUAGAUCUUAGGCACUGGAGAUACUGCAGAGACCACAACUGUGGCUUCUAUGUUAAUGGAUCUUAUAUUCUAGGGAAAGGAGACACACAGAAAAUAGAUGAACAAAAUAAGAUACUUCCAUGUGUGUUGGCAGAGAAUUAUUUUCGCACGACCAAGGAUGAAAAUGACAGCGACUGCAAGGUAGAGUGCCAGGAAAUGGAAUGCCCUGUUCGAUGUCUCUGUAGAGAUGAAGUGCCAUGUGGGGAAGGUGAGGCCUGCACAUUGCUGCUAUUAGGCCUGGCCCAUAAACUGUAAGCUCGCAAUGUUCUUCCUUCUUCUGUCUGUCCUCAGGGAAUGUUUUGCUGUUUCCCAGGCAUUUUCUGUUCUAGAUAUCUGGCUUAUCCCUGGGAACUGCCGGGAAUGAUGUCUAAGAAAGAAGCUGUACCUCCAUACGUCACCUUGAAUCACCCUUACUUGAAAGACAAUACUCCUGUGUUGUAAGUCGUGGGUGG